rnacentral:lncRNA from 1 species
GACUGCAUGCUGAUCGCCAUCCAACGAGCAUGCCUCAUGCAUGUCCUUAUGAUCGAUCAUCAGUUGAUCCUGCACGUACAUAACAUGAAAGAUAUCAAAUCAUGGUUAUCACACUCGAUCAUUAGCAGAAAAUCACUCAUAAUCACUGUGCAUUCAUGCAUGCAUGGACGACAUAUUUAAUCAAUUGGACAGGGUGAAAAACUCAGCCUAGGAGGCGUCGUACUUGGAGCAGUCGACGUUGGGACUAAUGGGCACGCCGACGGAGACGCCGCACUUGGAGGGGAUGCUGGCGGCGUUACCCAUGCUGACGCCGCCGCCGCCGCCGAGCCUGCUCGUCAUGCUCUUGAGGCAGGCGCAGGUGGCCUGGCGGUCGGCCGUCGACGACGCGCGGCUGUUGAGCGAGCGCACCCCGGUGCAGCACGCCGGGGAGGGGAACGCCGUGGUGCCCAUCGCGUACCCGAGGCACGGCGCCACCGAGGAUGUCACGUCGCUGCAGCUCACCGCCGCCGAUGCCGGCUCCGAGGACGCCAGCAGCAGCGCCGCCAGGACCGCCACCGUCGUCGCGACCACCAGGGCGAGGCGUGGAGCAGCCAUUGCAGGACAGAAGAGCAGUGGGGGGUGGUGAGCUGUUGAUGGUGUAGUGGUGUUAAGUGAAGCUGUGAUGGAUGGAGCAAUGGUGG